rnacentral:rRNA from 1 species
AAGCGUUAUCCGGAUUCACUGGGGUUAAAGGGGGCGUAGGCGGGUUGGUAAGUCCGUGGUGAAAUCCCCAAGCUUAACUUGGGAACUGCCGUGGAUACUAUCAAUCUUGAAUAUCGUGGAGGUAAGCGGAAUAUGUCAUGUAGCGGUGAAAUGCUUAGAUAUGACAUAGAACACCAAUUGCGUAGGCAGCUUACUACACGAUCAUUGACGCUGAGGCACGAAAGCGUGGGGAGCAAACAGG